AUGAUUUUUAUAAAUGAGAGAUUGAAUGGUUGUAUUUUUUUUCUUUAUAGGGUACAUAUGAUAUACUAUACUUGUUUUUGUUCAUUUUAUCAAAUGUCAAUGUAUAGGAGAAAAAAAAAUUACAAAAUAUUUGACAAUCUAUUAAGUUUUUGUUCUGGACUGGGCCGCGCUGGUCCAAGAGCAAGGAUGAAGGCCCAAAUCCAAAUGGUCCUGCAGAAGGUCGCUCCUACUCAGAAGCUACAGCCUUGUCCACGACAUCCUCGACUUCAUGCAGCCCAGCUCGACCUCUGCUCGAGCGCUCCUCGUAGGGCAGACUAUGACCAUCACGCCACGUUCUGGAUUUCGAAAAGACCGCGUCUUUGUCCGUCCGUACUUCUCGUAGGACACCCAGGAAGGAGACCACGUGCGGGUCUCCACUAC